ACUAUCUCUCCAAAAUGAGAGUAGGAGGAGAAACAAUCUCACUGCUAAAUCCAAUGGAGGAAAGGAUACUGGGAAAAUAGAAUAAAAUAAAACUUUAUUAAGAUUUAUUUUAUUCUAUUUUCCCAGUAUCCUUUCCUCCAUUGGAUUUAGCAGUGAGAUUGUUUCUCCUCCUACUCUCAUUUUGGAGAGAUAGUG
rnacentral:snoRNA from 1 species